rnacentral:misc_RNA from 1 species
CCGGAAAUUUUAACGCAGUCUUUGUGGCAGAGCACAUGUCUAUUCCAAGAUGAUCUAGAUUGAGGAAAUAACAGUUAUUCUUGGCAACGACCAGAUACAUAAGAGUUAUUUGACCUUUCACUGUAUACUUAAGUAUGGAUUUUGAUCAAUCCCAAUGACAGACAACGAAAACGAUAAGUAUCCACUUUUAAGGCGUGUCAGUAGAAAAUGGAUUAUCCUUUCAAAGCCUGAACUUAUUUUAUUUAUUGGUUGUGCUUUGCUUCUGAAAGUUGCGUUGAGGCGUAAAUUAAAAUCGCUCGAACUCAUCCAGAUGCAAAGCCAUGCUAAAGCAACAGAAGUAAUUUUGAUCAAAACGAUUCUGCCCGCAGGAAGUGAAACUUUAGAUGGAAAACAAUUAAGCUAACUAAAAUUGUUUAAAUCUUAAAGGCAUCAGCCGAGUGAAAAAAAAAAAAUACUCAGACACGCUCUUGAUAAGUCAAGAUGUCUUCCUCGAUUUGUAAAAGUGUACUCAAACUUUCCACUUCUAGAAACAUCUCGAGGAAAAUAAGCGAAGAUAGGACAGCGCAGCUACGAAGUAACGAUUCAUUGACAACGGACGAAAAAUCUGUUAGGAGGAAACGAAGUUUGUCGCUUGAUCCUUAUGUUUUACUGCAGUGGGCCGCCACACACAAUGACGUGGACACAUUGAAAAGCGUAGUGGAAGGAUCGAACGUGGAUAUCAACCAGGCGGGUCUCGAUGGAGUUUACCCGUUACAUCGUGCUGCUAGCUCGGGAAGCCUUGAAAGCCUUCAAUAUCUUGUCACGAAAGGUGCACAGCUCGACGUGCGGGAUAAAGAUGGCUCUUCACCGCUGGACGCUGCGGUUUACGAGGGAGAAUUCGACUGCGCAAGCUUCCUGAUCGAAAAAGGCGCCAGCAUCAACCAGAUUCGAGACGGAUUUAUAGACAAGAGUUUAUCACAUGGGAGAAAGAGAGCCAUGACUAUUGAGUAGCGACAGAUGAAAGGAAAGACUCUGCCUCAGUAAUUCCCAACAAAUCUUCAUCAAAAUUCCAUCACGUCCCUUAACAAGCCAGUACGUCUUUGAGUAAACCGUCUGUAUGAGGAAAAAAGGCCAUAAUUCAAACCAGAAAAUAGGAAGUAGGAAGGCGAGAAGUUAGCCGUCUCCUCCUUCACCGAAAUUUUAUAUCGUGUUGCCUUCCUAUAUUUUCCCACUGCUGAGUCGUGGAAAGUGAAGCUAGAGAGGGUUCGCGUGAUAAACAACUACAGCAUCAACAUCAUCAAUACGCGUGGGAAUCAGUUAGGUUUCCACUGCAGGUGUGGUCAUGAGAAAACUUGCUGAAAGAUGGAUCCACGACGAUAAUUCAUCUUAGGUCAGGGCCGAGUGGAUUGUAUUAAUUACAACACCUUUUACAGGUUAUCUUGACUUGUUGACAGACCAUUGCAUAGCUAGUUUUAUGGUGGUGGGUGGGCGAAGUAAGAAAAAGUCACGGAAAGGAGAAAUUUGUCCGCUCAUCGCAGAUAGAGGAAAAAUGAAAUAAAACGCAAUGAAUGUGGAUUGAGUUGAUUACCACUGUUUUCCAACAAAUUAAUCAUUGAGAAAUCCGGCCAAUUAAGUCGGAGAAACAAUCAUGGUAUUCACAAUUCCAUCCUUCCAAAUCUCCUCCUCUCACCCGAACAAAUUAGCAGGUCUGGUCUUUGGCCUGCCCCAGGGGUGGAGUAAUAAAACAAAGCGCGAUAGUAAAGAGCAGUAAACCGGUGGAUAUACUCAGUCAGUACCCAACCUUGCUCCUAAGGACGGGGUUGGACCUUAUCGCGCCGUUUAUUAUUCAGUGAACGCCUAGAACGAGCUAUUUGGUCUGUAAUUAUUAGAUUUUAAAUAA